rnacentral:rRNA from 1 species
GAAUAUUGGACAAUGGGGGCAACCCUGAUCCAGCAAUGCCGCGUGAGUGAAGAAGGCCUUAGGGUUGUAAAGCUCUUUCGCCCGUGACGAUGAUGACGGUAACGGGAGAAGAAGCCCCGGCUAAUUCCGUGCCAGCAGCCGCGGUAAUACGGAAGGGGCUAGCGUUGUUCGGAUUUACUGGGCGUAAAGCGCAUGUAGGCGGCGGAUCAAGUGAGGCGUGAAAGGCCUGGGCUCAACCUGGGAACGGCGCUUCAGACUGAUUGGCUCGAGUUCGGGAGAGGGUGGUGGAAUUCCCAGUGUAGAGGUGAAAUUCGUAGAUAUUGGGAGGAACACCGGUGGCGAAGGCGGCCACCUGGCCCGAGACUGACGCUCAAGUGCGAAAGCGUGGGGAGCAAACAGG